GUCACUUUACCGCAGUGGUCUAACGCGAUCACCUGCUAGUUUGCUCUUUCAGUGUAUCCAGUGCUCAGCGUUCGAAUCGCAGAGGUGACG